UGGGGUGAUAAAGAGAGAGACCAACAGGCAUAAAUGCCCCGGAGAAGAAUGAAAUCUUUGCCAAGAAGGCUCAGUUCACAGGGUUAUUUUCCACCUGCCUCCCCUACCCAGUUCUGUAAUCCUGGCUCAAAGUAGACAAGUCGAGUUGGAGCUGAAGAAGGGAGGUUAGAGGAUUUUUUCCUUGGGAGAGAAAAAAAGAAAAAAAAAGAAAAAAAGAAAAAAAAAAAAGGAAAAUGAGAGUUUGGUUGGACAACAAAGGCUGGAGCAUCCCAUGGUGUGAGGCAGUGCAGGAUGAUCUAAUUUAGGACCAGGGAGGCUGAUGAGCCGGCGCUGACCAGGGAUCGGAGCCUCAGCAUCCCCAUGAGAAAUUUUGCCCACCGGAGUCGAAUUCCCAGGGGGAGAAUGACAGGAGCCGGGAUGCCAGCGGUCGAGGAGGGGGACUGCAGUGGUCCGCGGGGCAGCUUGUACCGAAAUUCAGGCAGCCGCAAAGCCCAGGUCAGCGGAGAGCAGGGCGGGCAGUGUGGCAUCCCGUGGCUUUAUGGCCAGGGCAGGAGGAUGGGGAAGGUGCUGAACUUAAAUCAGAGCCGUUAAGGCUUUCCUGGAGGGAAGUGCCGGGUUGUCUGCUAUUGCAUGGUUGAAUGUUAACCCUUAGCUGCAUGUCUGGAAAUGAGCUCAGCCCUUGCUGCCUCUGCCGGGUGCCCCGCGGGUCCCCUUGCCAGUGUAGGGCUGGAUGGGUUUUUCUUCCUUUCCUUCCCUUCCCUCUUUUUUUUUUUUUAUUAUUUUAAUUUUUAAUUAAUUUGUUCUUUUUAGUCAAAAAUGUUCUGUUUUGUCAAUGACAGUUUUUCACACUCUUUGUGAAUAGAUGAAGGUUCCUCAGGUGUUUUCUCUCUUCCACCUAAUUGGUUUAGAAGGGAGUUCUGAACUCUGUCCCACAGAAGGCAAAUUAACCCCUUGAGGAAUGUGGUAGACAUGCUCGCACAGGGAGCUGCUCUCCCCCCCCCAACUUUAUUUCAUCUCUCUCUUUCUCAGCAGGGGCAAUUUUCUUUCCUUUUUUAUUUUCUUUUAUUUUAACAUCCCUUCGUUUUUCAUGAAACACUUCCAAACCUACGUACCUGUCCUUCUGCAGGAUAGUAGCCGUGCCCUGAGUCCGAUCCCACCACCGGGCACUUGGAAGAGUUUAGCAUAAG
rnacentral:lncRNA from 1 species